rnacentral:rRNA from 1 species
GUACACGCUGUGACUAGCAUAUCAAUAAGCGGAGGAAAAGAAACUAACAAGGAUUCCCUUAGUAACGGCGAGUGAAGCGGGAAGAGCUCAAAUUUGAAAUCUUCAAGGUUUUACCUUGACGAAUUGUAGUUUAAAGAAGUGUUUUCUGUUGAAGUUUUGGUAAAAGUUCUUUGGAAUAGGACAUCAUAGAGGGUGAGAAUCCCGUAUUUGACCAUUAUUUUCAGCUUUGUGAUACACUUUCAAAGAGUCGGAUUGUUUGGGAAUGCAGUCCAAAACUGGGAGGUAAAUUUCAUUCUAAGCUAAAUAUUGGCGAGAGACCGAUAGCGAACAAGUACCGUGAGGGAAAGAUGAAAAGAACUUUGAAAAGAGAGUUAAACAGUACGUGAAAUUGUCAAAAGGGAAGCGUUUGACACCAGUGUUGUUUUCUCGAAAAUCAAUUAAAAAUGGCUCGAUUUUGUAUUGCUGAGACCUUAAAAGCUCACUGUACAUUUUUCGUGUCUUUUUUAAUGCACUUUUCGUUUAACAAGUCAACAUCAGUUUCUUUUGUUGUAAAAGGGUCAUUGGAAGGUGGCUUUCUUUUCGGAGAAAGUGUUUAUAGCCUUUGGCCUCUGCAAUCGAAGAGACUGAGGUCUGCAGCGUAGACUCUUCGGGGUUAGAUACAUUUGUGCUAAGUUAUAGCUUUUCAUAGACAACUCGUUGACUAUAGUUAGUCAUUGUAGCUUACUCGCUUAUGCUAUUUUACCUACGCUUAGGAUGUUGACGCAUGAGAUAUACGC